rnacentral:lncRNA from 1 species
GCACACAACCACUCCAAUUUGCUGACAAUAAUCGAAAGAAAGAUUACAGUUAUGUGCUUCACAACAGGCGAAUUGAACCAGAUUUUAGGAUUUAGGGUUUUUACUACCAACGUGCUUUUCCGAAAGUAGACGGGCAGAUCGCGGAGAAUUUGCGAAGGAAAUUAACUAGGCGGAGCGAUGGCCAUUGCUGGGAGACCUUCACGACAAGCUUCACGGAACCCAACACAGACAAGCCAAGCUUCCUUGUCCUGAGAGUGCAAGCGAAGAGCAUUUUUGGAGCUUGGCACCAAACUCGGCAAAGGUCCACAACCCCCGACGUUGGCACGAUAUUUUAAGCACCAGUGAAUCAGCACUGCCGGAAACGGCUGUCUGGGC